CUAACUCCGGGUCAGCAGCCGGGGUAAUACGGGGGGGGCAAGCGGUGUUCGGAGUUUCUGGGCGUAAAGGGCUGGUAGGCGGCCAACUAAUUCCGACGUGAAGUCCCCAGGCUUAACCUGGGAACUGCGUCGGAUACUGGAUGGCUUGAAUUCGGGAGAGGGAUGCAGAAUUCCAGGUGUAGCGGUGAAAUGCGUAGAUAUCUGGAGGAAUACCGGUGGCGAAGGCGGCAUCCUGGACCGACAUUGACGCUGAUGAGCGAAAGCUAGGGGAGCAAACGGGAUUAGAUACCCUAGUAGUC
rnacentral:rRNA from 1 species